rnacentral:misc_RNA from 1 species
AGGAUUAAGUCCUGUACAUGGUCUGGCGAGGCUGGUGAAUUUACAACACAGAGGAAAGUCACCAAUGUGCAUAGAUGCUGUCUAAAGUGAUUAUGAUGUCAUUAUUUGAUGAUUACUUCAAUAUUUACUCUUUCAUUGUAAAUGUAGCAACCAAUAUAUUAUGUGACAUUAAUCAGAAGUCUGUUGUUUUAUCUAUUGAUACUUUAUAGGAUUAUUUGGGACUAUUGUCUCUUUUUAUGCUCCCCGAGCCAUAAAAAGGACCAUAACUUCUGACUUGCUGAAGAGUCUCAGCAAUGAAAUUUUAGUG